AUUGUAUUUCCGAAAUAUUCCCCCUCCUUGCAGUGUCAUCAGAAUUUACCAAGCUUUCUAUGCUUUCCUAUGGGUCUGCAAUUCCUCUUGUGUACAGGCCACGGCUUUUGCUGUCUGGUGGUGAAGGUUCUGGCCUGGAUCAUCUUGGGCCUGCAAUUCUACAUGAACUGGAAAAAUUUCCUGUUCAUUCUCUCGGACUUCCAUCUCUUCUUUCAGAUCCUAGUGCAAAGACACCAGAGGAAGCAUUGGUACAUAUAUUUGGUGAAGCGAGAAGAACAACGCCUUCAAUCCUUUAUAUGCCUCACUUCAAUCUUUGGUGGGAUAAUCUCAGGGCUGUUCUACUGACACUAUUAGAAGAACUGCCAUCUGACUUGCCCAUUCUGUUGCUUGGAACUACCACAGAACUACC
rnacentral:misc_RNA from 1 species